rnacentral:rRNA from 1 species
UACGUAGGGUGCAAGCGUUAAUCGGAAUUACUGGGCGUAAAGCGUGCGCAGGCGGUUAUGUAAGUCAGAUGUGAAAUCCCCGGGCUCAACCUGGGAACUGCAUUUGUGACUGCAUAGCUAGAGUACGGUAGAGGGGGAUGGAAUUCCGCGUGUAGCAGUGAAAUGCGUAGAUAUGCGGAGGAACACCGAUGGCGAAGGCAAUCCCCUGGGCCUGCACUGACGCUCAUGCACGAAAGCGUGGGGAGCAAACAGG